GGAAUCUGCCUGGUAGUGGGGGACAACGUUUCGAAAGGAACGCUAAUACCGCAUACGUCCUACGGGAGAAAGCAGGGGACCUUCGGGCCUUGCGCUAUCAGAUGAGCCUAGGUCGGAUUAGCUAGUUGGUGAGGUAAUGGCUCACCAAGGCGACGAUCCGUAACUGGUCUGAGAGGAUGAUCAGUCACACUGGAACUGAGACACGGUCCAGACUCCUACGGGAGGCAGCAGUGGGGAAUAUUGGACAAUGGGCGAAAGCCUGAUCCAGCCAUGCCGCGUGUGUGAAGAAGGUCUUCGGAUUGUAAAGCACUUUAAGUUGGGAGGAAGGGUUGUAGAUUAAUACUCUGCAAUUUUGACGUUACCGACAGAAUAAGCACCGGCUAACUCUGUGCCAGCAGCCGCGGUAAUACAGAGGGUGCAAGCGUUAAUCGGAAUUACUGGGCGUAAAGCGCGCGUAGGUGGUUCGUUAAGUUGGAUGUGAAAUCCCCGGGCUCAACCUGGGAACUGCAUCCAAAACUGGCGAGCUA
rnacentral:rRNA from 1 species